AUGUGUUUAUUUACAUGCCUUCUUCGACGAGUAAUAUCAAGUUAUGACAAGUGUGAGCAUUAUUUGGUCAAGAUUUUGUCAUCUCAAGUUCAUAUGUUCUUAAGAGUGCCUCGGGUUGUGGAAAAAGAUCAUGUUCGCGAGUUGAUUCGAAGUUGUCGGACCAAAAGUCAACAUUUGCAAGUUUGA